rnacentral:rRNA from 1 species
UACAGAGGGGGCAAGCGUUGUUCGGAAUUACUGGGCGUAAAGGGCGCGUAGGCGGCCUGUUAAGUCGAACGUGAAAUCCCCAGCUUAACCUGGGAACUGCGUCGGAUACUGGAUGGCUUGAAUUCGGGAGAGGGAUGCAGAAUUCCAGGUGUAGCGGUGAAAUGCGUAGAUAUCUGGAGGAAUACCGGUGGCGAAGGCGGCAUCCUGGACCGACAUUGACGCUGAUGAGCGAAAGCUAGGGGAGCAAACGGGG